UUGGCCAGAGCCCCUCGUCGUGCUCGGUCGAACGCAUUCUCGUACCCAGAGCCCUUCUUACGCGCGUUCGACCGAGCCCGACGAGGGGCUCUGGCCAA